GAAGGAAAGCUGAAAGAAUACAUCUGGCCGAGACGGGUGGAUCACUUGAGCUCAGGAGUUCAAUAUCAGCCUGGCCAAUAUGGUGAAACCCGGUCUCUACUAAAAACACAAAAAUUAGCCAGGCGUCGUGGCGGGUGCCUAUAAUUCCAGCUACUCGGGAGGCUGAGGCAGAAGAAUAGCUUGAACCCUGGAGACGGAGGUUUCAGUGAGCCAAGAUCACGCCACUGCACUCUAGCCUGGGUGACAGAGCAACACUCUGCCUCAAAAAAAAAAAAAAAAAAAAAAUACAUCUGGUCACACAAAUUCAAGCUAUUCCUUUCCUGGUUCCAAGGAGUAUGUAAGAAUGGCUUGAGUUUAAAUCGACAGUUUGGAAAGAAUUUUGAAAAUUCUGAAACAAAAUUAUUAUUAAAAUUCUGCAAAAUCGUCCUUUAAAAAAACUAGAAUUUUUUUUCUUUUUUUCGCUCUGGUAUUAGUCAAUUAUGUAGGUUACGUUGUUUCCUGAUAUAAAGGCCCAUAUAAAGUUAUAAAAUCAGCACACAAACUAAUAUUAGUCACUAUCCUAUUUCAAAGAACUAAAUUUAAAACAAUCCAAUAACAUCACCUUAUCUCCUAUCUAAUAAUUCAUAAAUGUUGUGUUUGGUAAGCUACAGCACACAUUUUUCUAGUGCUAUUAUUACUUAAUUGCUUUGCUCUUGCUUCUUUAUGCUACUGUCUAUCACUGAUUACGGUUGUGUCAUAAAAAAGACGACAAGCUCCAACAGAAUUACAAGGGAGCAUUCAAAUGCUUUUUUAUUAUAGUGGAAUUUUGUUUCAGGAAACACAUGUUGCUACAUUUUAACCAUUCCAAACUUCUGCUCCUAGUCCAAUCCUUUUCCACAAGCUGGGGGAGCGGGAGCAUGCUGGACAAGGGAAAUUUAGCUAGAGCUAAACUCUCCUCCUGAUUAAGGAUUUUGCCUCUUAGAAAAUUGAAUGACAUAGGUGGAGAUAAGAUUGUCAGCAUAGCGAUCAAUUACCACGAGCCAAUCAGUCACUGUGAUGCUCAAGAAGCUAGAUCACAUAUCCACAAUUUUUUUAAAGAAGGGAAACUGAUAUUCAAUCUUACCGUUCUUUUCUCUCUGAAUGCUCUCAUUUUAUUAGCUUCAGUUAACAAAUUAUGAUUCCCAAAUAUCCACCUUCAAUCCCAAAGGUCCUGUAUUUUUAAUUUCCUCUACAAUGUUUCCAAUUAUAAAUCAUCAUUCCAAAUUCAACAACAAAUUCCAAUUUUACUCAGUUUCUUAAAACUCCCUCCCUUAUUGUCCCAAUCACUCAGGCUUACAAUCUUGAAAUAUUCAUUGAUGCCUAUUUACAAUCCACUGGAAUCAACUGCCAAGUCCUAGCUAUACCUCCUUCAAUCUCUCAAAUCAGCAAAAACAUUUUGACUGUGCAGAGAACUAUGUGUGGUAGGCAGGCCAAGGCCUGCAGGAGAUAAGAAAAUAAGCAUAACACACUGUAUUCCUUUCUUUAAGAACUUAAACUCAAAAAAAAAAAAAGAAAGCCAACCAAUUAUUAUAUUUAAAAUAUAUUGUGCCCUUACUGUGUGCCAGGCACUGUGCUGAACCAUUUUCACGCAUUAUCAAAAAACAGAACAAAACAAAACAAAACUGGGCAUGGUGGCUCACUCCUGUAAUCUCAACACUUUAAGAGGUCAGGGCAAGAGGAUUACUUGUGCUGGAAGUUUGAGACCAGCCUGAGGCAACACGGUGAGACCCCAUCUCUACAAAAAAUUUUUAAAAGUAGCCACACAUGGUGGCAUGUGCCUGUAGUCCCAGCUACUCGGGGGACUGAGGCAGGAAGACAGCUUGAACAUAGGAGUUUGAGGAUGCAGUGAGCCAUGAUCUUGCCAUUGAACUCCAGUUUGGGCAACAGAGACCCAGUCUCAAAAACAAACAAAAAAAACCUGUAAGGUAUACACUAUCAUCUCCAAAUUAACAGAUGGGAAGAAAUAAGACCUGCAGAGGUUGAAGUGUAUAAAGUCAUAUAGCUAUUAAGUGAUAGAGCUUGAACUCAACAACAGAUGACUACAAAGCCUUUGCUACCCAUAAAUAAAAUAACACAAAAUAUAACUGCCAGAAGAAACGUAAAAAGAAAGGAAAAAAACAAUCUUUUCCUAACUUAUCUCUUCUGCUCCAACUCCACUGCCAAUACCAGCUUUCACAAUUUCUGCAAAGUUGGCCCUUGAAUGGGCUGCUGAAGAAUCAUCUAGGAAGCCUAUGUAAAUGAAUAUUCAUAGUCCAACCCUUGAGAUUCUGAGUCACUGGGUAUGGGGUGUUUCCGAUGCAUAGUUUUUUUAAAAACCAUACUCCUAAUUCUUGUUCAUUCAUUCAUACAACAAAGAUUUGAAUUCCUACUAUGCACCAAGCCAUGUCAAAGGUUCAUCUUCUACGGAAGAAAGAUCUAGUGUAGUGGCUCUGCCAUACUUACUUGCUACAGUAUCUUGGGUAAGUAGCUUAACCUCUCUUAAGUCUAAAUUUUCUAGCCUAUAAAACAAAGAUAAUACUUUCCAGGUUGUUGUGAAAGUUAAUGAGAUAAUGUAAAGCAUUUAGCACAGGGGCUGACAUACAAUUCUCGAUAAAUGCUAGCUAUUAUUUCCUGAGAAACACAACCUAGAGAGUAAUUUUUUCCUAGAGAUGAAAUUUAAGCAAAGUAACAAGGAAAUAGUCUAGGCAUUCACAUAUCGGCGGGGGGGUGGGGGGGGGAAUCUAAACCAAGUAAAGAUUACACAGAGGGUUUUCUCUAAUUAGGUGAAUCAAAUUCAUAAGGCUGAGAUUUUUUUUCUUGUAAGAUUUCUUUAAACAGAAAUACAGUUAACUUUACUAACAAAAAUGAAGCAACACAUAAAGUUCCGAAAAGGCAGUCAGGAGUCCCCAGAGUGUUAACAGAAAGAACACAGGACUUAAAUACAGAAGAACUCAGGUCCAAAUAGCAGAUCGAACCACCUGCCAGGUAGACGGCAUCAAAAAAGUAAUUUAAAUUAUCUCAUUCUGUUUUUUCACUUAUAAAAUUAGGUUAAAAAAUAGCUGUCACAGAAAGCAUGGCCAGCAGGUCCUCCACAGGACCUUUCCCUUCUGUGCCUAAAAUUCUGAACUGUGUUUUACAAUAAGCCUGAAAGUUCAUUCACCGCAAUAUAGUAUUUGCAAUCCAAAGUCAAUAUUUCAACACAAAAUUGGCAGGCAGGAAAGGAGGGAGAGUCUUUCGCUAAGUCUAAGUAAGAGUCUGACUUCUCACUAGGAGCAUGUCUGUUGUACUUACUUCAAACAGCAUGCAAAGCAUGACUCAUCAAGGAAUAAGAAUUUCAAUGAGUGCUUUUUGGUUAAGAAGAUAUUGUGAAUAUUUCUGCCUUUGGAGAUGGCUAAAGAAAUAGCAUUAUUAAGCCAGUGCAGUGGCUCACGUCUGUAAUCCCAGCACUCUGGGAGGAUGAGGUGGGUGGAUCACCUGAGGUCAGGAGUUCAACAGCCUGGCCAACAUGGUGAAACUCUGUCUCUACUAAAAAUACAAAAUUUAGCUGGGCGUGGUAGUGGGCGCCUAUAAUCCCAGCUACUUGGGAGGCUGAGGCAGAAAAUCACCUGAACCCAGGAGGCAGAAAGAGGUUGCAGUGAGCCAAGAUCAUGCCACUGCACUCCAGCCUGGGCGAUGAGAGCAAAACUCCAUCUCAAAAAAAAAAAAAGAAACAGCAUUAUUAUUAAACAAUACGCACAGAAUUCAUGGAAGAAACAUGAACUUCCCACAUAUACCUUCCUUCAUUUACCCAGCUUUUCCCCACUGCUCUUCAAACAAGAUCAUUCUUAUCUGCACUAAUUGCUGAAUUGUGGCCACAAGAUGAACAUGCUCCUCUUUCACUGACUCCUACAAGAUAUUUAAACUUAUAUUUUAAGAUUGCUAAGAAGUUGAAGUCAGCAAAAUUCCUUAAUCCGCUCCAGAUAUGAAUAUAUCCAAGACUUUGACCAUAGGGCUAUAUUAACCUCUGCUAUCAUAAUCAGUGGAACUAAUUUACCAAUAUUUUAUUUACCAGGGGGAAAAAAAGACAUAAAAGGGAAAAGGAAAUUCACAAUGCAGCUCUGUAACCAAGCUACGAUAUAACAAGGAGUUAAUAAGGAGCGCCCUCGUUUGGCUUGAAUGAUGGAGAAACUUGAGUAAAAACAUGCAUUUAAAAAAAACAUUUAAGGCUGGGCGCGGUGGCUCACACCUGUAAUCCCAGCACUUUGUGAGGCUGAGGCGGGUGGAUCACGAGGUCAGGAGAUGGAGACCAUCCUGGUCAACAUGGUGAAACCCCACCUCUACUAAAAAUACAAAAAUUAACUGGGUGUGGUGGCAUGUGCCUGUAGUCCCAGCUACUCAGGAGGCUGAGGCAGGAGAAUAGCUUGAACCUGGGAGGUGGAGGUUGCAGUGAGCCGAGAUCGCGCCACUGCACUCCAGCCUGGCGACAGGGCAAGACUCCAUCUCAAAAAAAAAAAAAAACAAAAAAAAGCAAAAAACACAUUUAAAAAACGAUCGCUUCCACCGCCCAGAAAAAAAAAAAAAACAUUAGGAUGAUCGCACAAGUGUUACAAUGUUUUUUUAAAAAAUGUUUGUGAAUGCCUUUUAAAGAAAAUGCUUUUCUCACCACUAAUAGCAGGUUUGAGUUGUUAUUUAGUUUUUAAGCCACCAGUGAGAAUCUAUGUGCCCCAAUUGUAUUUUACAACGCUUUCCAAUACAGACCAAAAAAGUGUGUACAUAAGGGUAUCAAUGUGAAUGAAGUAUUUCUUUUCAAAUUCUUUUCAAAAUAAGUAUUUCUUUUAUGACCUGAAUCUAGGUGAUUCAUAUGUUGAGUUUUGCUGGACGAUCCCUAAAAGUUUUGGGAUUAAGUUUCAAGUUUCCUAACUCUUAACAGCUUUCCUAUCUAAGACGAUCAAAUUUUACAGAUAGCCACUUUUUUUCAGCCACCUUUCCCCUAAUUUAUAUAAUGAAUGAAAUGAGCAACCUGAUUCAGGUUAUAACUUUUUACUUAAACUAAGUGAGUAAUUGUAAUUUAGAGACCUAAGAGCUGAACGCAUUCUCUAAAGCAUAAAAAAAAAUUAGACAAAUUAUAGGUGCACAAUUUGCAUUCGGGGACCACAGAGUUUUGAAAUGUAAAAGCUCCCUGUUAAGGCCAUACUUAGAGAUGUUUAUCUCAGGGUCCUCAACCUCAAGGACUUAUCCUCUAUGUGCAAAUAAAGCUGAAGGUGUAACUUCCCAGGAGGCACCACUGGAAACUUGUAAGACCAAAAAGCCUUUUGAGAACCAAAAUAACUGCAACUCUAAAGGGGGAAUUUCAGAUUGUGACAAAUGGUAAAAGAGAGUGAGGUGGCAAGGGGACUCCUAAUCAGUUCCAUUCAAAUCAUCAAUGUGCAGUUAAUAACCUCUCCUUAUUGGAGAAACCAAUGUAAUAACUUAAAAAUAUACUAUUGUGAUAAUCGUAAUUUUAAAACAGAAAUAGCCUAGGUUAAAUUGAACCCCUCUCCCCGACCCUACUGGUCAUUCAGCAUGUUUUAAAUUCAAGGUUGCCCUUUAGGAAAGGAGGUCACUUAAGGACAGUUUACCUCAAUGAGACAUCUUGUAUACUAAUUCGAAACUAUUUCAAAAGGGGGAAAAUGGAGAUCAGAAAAGUAACACACUACUUGAGAUGUUACCAUAUUAUUUCUCAGGGCCACAAUUAUUUACACUAUUUUUUUUGAAAACUCAGUAAUUUCUAAAGCAUUAAUUAUGUAGCAAUAUUCGUCACCUUAACGAAACACAUUUGAAAAGUCCUAUCCUACUGACUCAGGCCAAAUCUAAUUUUAAAACUGAACCUAGACAUAAAAAUACUCACCAAUUACACUAAGAAGGGAGAAAUAAAAAAAAUUACUGGUUCAGAGAAAUGAGACUGAAUUAAGGAAAAACUUUUAAAUAAAGUGUUCAUCAAAAAAAUACAUAGAAGUUCCAACGCUAGCGUUUUCCUAGGGAGAAUAUUAAGAAGUUAGUGGUUUCUCUCUACCUAACUGGGAUUUUAGAAACUGCCACACUAGCUAGUUAUGAGAAUGAAGAUUAAAGAAAUUUCACAUAAAGAGUGAAGGACACACAAUCUUUUAAGUAACAAUAAUGAAAUCAAUAAUUAUAAUUAAUAAUAAAAAAAAACAAGCCUGACAGUCCACCCCUCACUGACUUCCCCCUCAAAAAAAAAAAAAAACUGGGCGUGUUCUGGGAAUUGGAGAGAUGUAAUCAGCACAGAAAAAAAAAACACUUUCCUAUAUGUCAUCGUGAAGCAGUGAUUCUACAUAAAAAUAAGGGUAGUCUAUUCUCUAUGCAGUUAUGAGUGUGGUACAACUCUCUAAAACGUCUAUUAAUACAAAAUGAACGACCACACUUUAAAGCCAUUCUACAUUUUCGCAAACUACCCUACACAUCUACGAGUAACUAUUUGCAACUUAAACACAUUCCUAUAUACCUCUAUACCUUCCUGCUUCCUUCAAGAUACCAUCACAGAAUGAACAAAUACAACUUAAAUUAGUUCAUUUUCCAGGGUGCUUCCUUUCCCCCACUCCAUGAAACAUAAGUACAUUUUUUUAAGUCAUAUAAAUGGACACCAAGCACCGGUAAUUCAGUCUCUUUAAAACCUGCUUAAUUUUAAAAGUUCUAGUAAGAUGUGCUCAGGUUGGAAACUAAAAACUACCUUAUAAGGGUAUAAAAGACUGAAAGCAGGAAGCGGCUUUGACAAAACUAAGGAAGUUGCAGCGCGCUUGCUCACUGGGGGACUUUUUUGAGGCUACAGAAGUAACACAUGACAUCUUUCUCCCUCGAAUUAAAAUGUGACUUGGUUCACCGGUUAAAACGCAGAGGGAGAUGGAAAUGACCAGGAGUCGAAAGGAGAAGAUUAGAGUGCAGUGGUGCAGUCAUGGCUCACUGCAGCGUCUGCCUCGUGGACUCAAAGAAUCCUCCUACCUCAGCCUCCCAAGUAGCUAAGGACCACAGAGUUGUGCUCUCCUGCAGCGUUUUGCGGAUGGCUGGCUAUCGUACCCAGAAUCAAUCACACUGGGACACUGAAAAAAAAAAAGGAAAAAAGAGCGAGGGAGUAAUUCUAGCCUAUUUUUACAAGAACACAGUGGCUAUAGACAGUGCCGGUGUCAAGAUGAUUCAGCAAAAGUGGAGAACCAAAGAUUCUAGGGCAGCACCAAAACUGGGAAAGCAAUUACAGCAAACGUUGCCUUCCCCAUGGUAGCUUAGCAACUUCGUGUCUCUCCAAGGCAAAGAGGAAAAUCAAGUCUAACAGGCCUUCCCGAAGGCUAGGUGUGAAAUACCAGAAGCCAUCUUUGUUUCUGGCGAUGUCACUAAAUAAGUAUUUGUUGAUAUAAAGUAUUACACAUCUGUUCUCCCACAUUUCAGCUAAAUUGCCAAAAGUUAACCCUUUCUGGGGAUGCAGAAUGGAACAAUAUACCUAGCUCUCAUUCAUUAUUUCGCUUGCUGAUAUUCUUGCAUAGCUUUUAGUUUAUGCAUUUGUCCCAAAUAAACCUAGAAAAAGCCACUUUUCAUAGGACAAGAUGAGCUGAUGAUUUGAAUCACUCCCCCACUGAGGAAGAAACCAUCUGUGGAAAAGACUGUAUAAGGUACUUCCUGGUUGAACGGUAGGGCUCUGGAGUCAGAAGUCUUGAAUUUGAAUCCCAGCCCUGAAAUGUAUCAGCUGUGUGCCCUUAGGUAAGUAACUGAACUUCUCUGGCUUCAGAUCCCUCUGUGUGUGUGUGUGUGUGUGUGUGUGUGUGUGUGUGUGUGUGUGUGUGUGUGUGUGUGUGUUUUGUUGUUGUUGUUGUUAUUGAGACACAGUCUCACUUUGUUGCCCAGGCUGCAAUGCAGUGGCGCUAUCUCAGCUCACUGCAACCUCUACCCCCCGGGUUCAAGCAAUUCUCAUGCCUCAGCCUCCCAAGUAGCUGGGACUACAGGCACCCACCACCAUGCCUGGCUAAUUUUUUGUAUUUUUAGUAGAGACGGGGUUUCACCAUGUUGGCCAGGCUGGUCUUGAACUCCUGACCUCAGGUGAUCCGCCUGCCUUGCCCUCCCAAAGUGCUGGGAUUACAGGUGUGAGCCACCGCAAUUGGCCCUCUCUGUUAAUUGUAGGUGCUGAAAGGAACCCAGUGAACUAGUGAUAAUACUUAUAAUGUACCUAGUGCCAGGUCUGAUGCUUAAUUCAUAUUCAGAAAGUAGAAGCAAUUUUCAUGUGAUAGGUCAUUAAUGCCAAUUUUAUGUAUCUGAAAAUGAGGAUGUGGGGGGUUCCAGGAAGUUAUUUAAAUGCUUUUGGUGCACAGUUCCUUUACCCUGCCUAGGGUUACCUACAACAUACCUUUGGGGAACUUGGCCUGCUUCUUUGCUAGGCUGGGGUCCCAUUCUCUUGGAUCCUUUGCUAAUCUGCCGAUCAAUCUUGUAAACUAUUUAUUGCAGAGAUGUUAAUGACUUUAUUUGACUUUUCUACUUAGAGACAGAUAGAUUAAGAAGUGUUUCAGGCUGUGGCCAGCUGGGACCAUUCAGCAGCCUUCAGGUAAUGCCUCUUUUAGCACAGGUCAGCCUGGAAGCCUGGGCUGUGGCCCCUGUGUGAAUUGGCCUCUUGCACUAGAGGAUGGUUGGGUGGGUGGUUGAGGCUGCCCUUCUCAUACUCCAGGGUCUUUGUUCAUAUUUAUGACACCUACAUUUCUGCUUCCCUUUCUUACUUCUCCCUUCCCAGAUCAGAGUGGAAUAGAGCUCAUUAAAGCUUUAUAGGGGUAGUGCCAAUAGAGAACUUUAGGUCUGGGGAAGAAUCAUUAGUAAAGAUCGACUGUGUGCUCUGGGUGCCUUUAGGCAGCCACUGUUUCCAUUGGUGUUUAAUAUUUAUUGCUUUCUCAUAAUCUUCCAGCUGCUAUCUUGUCACUGUUAGGAAGACUGGGAAAAAUGUCCUAUGGAUAUUUAUUUUCUACCACAUAUUUAGUAUAUCACUUGAAAGUUUGAAUUUUGUGUUUCUUAUAUAAAUUAUGAAUGAUAAAAUAAAAAUCAUCACUAUUGCUUUCAGGCCAGAUAUAUUUUUAUUGCACAACAUGUAUUAUGUACAAGAAUAUCACAAGAUUUGGAAAUGUUAGUCCUAGAAGAGUUUGACACAACGCAAUGAUAAGACAGUAUGAAAAAUGGAGCUAUGAAUAAAAAAGAAUCCAUAAGUCCCCAGAGCCUAUGAGUAUGUUAUGUUGCAUAGUGAUGUAGUUGGGAUGCCUGUCCUCUCCAAAUCUCAUAUUGAAAUGUGAUCCCCAGUGUUGGAGGUGGGGUCUGGUGGAAGAUGUUUGAAUUAUUGGGGCUGAUUCCUUAUGGAUGGUUUGGUACCCACCCCAUGGUAAUGAGUGAGCUCUCAUUCUGGUAGUUUCUGUGAGAGCUGGUUGUUUAAAAGAGCCUGGCACCUCCCCUUCCUCUCUUGCUCCCUCUCUGUCUUGCCAUGUGACACUCCUGCACCCCUUUACCUUCUGCCAUGAUUGGAAGCUUCCUGAGGCCCUCACCAGAAACCAAUGCCUACAUCAUGCUUCCUGUACAACCUGCAGAGCCCAAAUAAACCUCUUUUCUUUAUAAAUUAACCAGUCUCAGGUAUUCCUUUAUAGCAAUGCAAAUGGGCUAACACACGUAGCGAGGAGGAAUUAAGGUUGCACAUGGAAUUAAGGUUCCUAAUGAGCUGACUUUAAGAUAAGGAGAUUAUCCUGGAUUAUCUGCAUGGGCCCAGUGUAAUCACAAGGAUCCUUUUAGCAGAAGAGGGAGCCCAAAGAGUGAGGCAGAAAGAGAUUUGAAGAUGCUACCUGCUGUCUUUGAAGAUGAAGGAAAAGAGCCACAAGCUAAGGAAUGCAGAAAUUGGAAUAGAAAAAGGCAAAAAAC